CGUUAUAAAGGUGCAUCAUUUGAUCAAUGCUGGCUCACACCCUAUAACAAACAACUGAAUACGAACAGCGAAUCGAUGAGCAGAGGAGCUGCAAUCUGGAAUGGAGAAUAUCUCCAUGUGGACUGCGGUACGGAUUUUUAUUGCCUUUUCGCUGAUUU
ncrna:unclassified sequences DTF2800 RNA